ACCAUUACCGAAAAAGAACAUGAAUUGUUUACUGUAAUGUCCAAGUUUAAGGGUUUUUUUUUUUUUAAUUAAGGGUCAUAAUCUUUUUCGUAAAUCAAUAUCGAAUUUAAAACUUUGACCCACCUGUAGGAACACAUACCACUAGAGUAAAAAAUUAUUAUAGAUUUUUCUUUUUUUUAAUUAAGAGUUAUAACCUUUGUCGAAAAUGAAUAUUGAACACAAAAUUUUGAUCCCACAUAGAGG
rnacentral:lncRNA from 1 species